AUAUCAACUAUUUCUCUUGUUUUAGCAAAUAAAAGGAAGUGAGGCAUUUUAUAUUUAAUGAAACCAGUAACACACUUUAUUUAACUCCAAAACCUAAACACAAAAACGCGCUAUAAAAGUUCUUACGUAACAACGUCAUCACGUCAGACACCAGCCUCUUAAAGCGAAACCCCCACUCAAUGGCGGUGUUUGUGAAUUAUGUAGUUUCCCCAAUUAUGUUACCCUACACCCUUACCACAAAUACCGACUUAUUAGCUGAUUUCAGCAUUUUAUGAUUUCUAAAUACGAUAAAUACUGGAAAUCUUAAGUUAAAAUAAUAUUUAAAAUUGACAAAUCAAUGUUCUUUAUCCUCAUUCUAAAUAUACAGACGAUUACCUGAGAAUGAAAACAUACUGCAGUUUCACUAGAAUUAAAAGUAGCAGCGCCCAACGUGGGGCUCGAACCCACGACCCUGGGAUUAAGAGUCCCAUGCUCUACCGACUGAGCUAGCCGGGCUCUGAAUAGAACGCUGGACGCACUAUUCUAAUGAGAAAUUACGUUAGUUUCAUGAUCUUUAGAUUAUUAUUUGGGUAGUAUUUUAAUUCGCGUCCUUGGCUGUUCCGACGUCGCCGCUAGGAUACCGCCCGUGGUCUUUAGCCUGCGUGAAUGACGAAGCAUGAAAUAAAUAUUGCGAGAGAAAAAUACAUAAAAUUAAACGUUUAAAAUAAGCAGUAGUUAAGCUUCUCAAGGAAGAAAAAAUAAGUCCUUCGAGCCGGAAUCGAACCAGCGACCUAAGGAUUUCUCCGUACGUCCUACAGUCCUCCGCUCUACCAGCUGAGCUAUCGAAGGCCUACGGAAGUUUUUGCUCAGAAGAAUUUAAGGAUGAAGCCAAUUGUUUCAUAUUUGGUCACCAGCAGCUGCCAUUUCAAUGGCUUUUUUCAGUCAGCGCUGGAAGAUCUGGACAGUAAAAUGCAUAUGUCAGGAUGCUCCUCAUUGACUUACUGUGGUGAACUAUGUGCCUGUCGGGACACGCCCCUGCUGACUGCUCCUGUGGCUCCUCCCACAGGCCCCUGUAUAAAGGAGAUCUGAGGCCUGACGCUCGGCCUCAGUCUCCAGGACAUAGUAUGAUGGACACUCAUUCCUGGUUCCUUCUUCCAGUCAAUAAAAGCCGAUAUCUCGCCUUACAUCUCAGUGUGAGUUAUUGAUGGUGCAUCACUUAGUUCAGCAUUCAACAAUAUCACCCCUUAAAAUUAAUCUGUAAGCUUCAAGUCCUAGACCUCAAUACCUUCUUGUGCAACUAGAUCUUCGUUUUCCUCACUUGCAGACUCCAGUCAGUUUCGGAUCAUCAACAUCUCCUCCACAAUCGCCAUCAGCAGAGGCGCACCACAAGGCUGUGUGCUUAGCCCCCUGCUCUCCCUUAAUAUUUGUGACUGUGAGGUUAAGCACAGCUCCAAUGCCAUACUUAGAGUUCCUGACGACACUACUGUUGUUGGCCGAAUCAAAGGUGGUGAUGAAUCGGCAUAUAGGAGGGAGACUGAAAAUCUGGCGCUUUCACUCAAUGUCAGUGGAACAAGGAGCUGAUUAUUGACUACAGGACUACAUUGACUAAUAUUUUGUAUAGUGACUUUGGAACGAUACCAGUUGGAGAUGCUACUGUUGGGAUAAGGUAUACCCUGAUCAUAUUCCAUAGUCCUUCAAUUUCCUCUUUUAAUUCAGCAUACUUCUAGUGUUUUCACUUAAUAAUUUCUGUAUGUUGUGUGUGUUUGGAAUAGCUAUAUCUAUGAAGUAAGUUGCUCUUACUUUUUUAUCCUGUAAUUUUAUAUCCAGAUGGUUAUUAUGGAUUGGCCUAUCUGUAAUAAUGGAUCAGUCAUAAUAACAUUUUUAGAAUUCUGUCUCUAAAACUGGAUCUGGCAUGUAUUUAUAGUAAGGUAGGGUGUCUUUUAUGAGUUUGUAUUUUAAAGCAAGAUUCUGGUGAAUGAUGUUUGCCACUUGAUUGUGUUUGUGUCUUUAAUCAGAUUGAGUUAAACUGCUGUAGGAUCCUGUAAUGUGUUAGAUUGUUUCUAGUUCCCUUGGCAUUUUUUGCAUUUGUCAUCUUCAAUUUGUUGGUCUUUUAUUAUGUAUUUUUGAUAGUUUUUUUCUGUUAACCAUCUCAUCCUGUUUCUGGGAAAAGAACUACAACUCUGAGCUGGGUGUUCAACACCUCCUUAUCAACAUCUACUAUGAUCAGAUCAUGGGGAUGUCUUUCAUGGAAGAUCAUGCUCUUCCAUUGGUUAACUUUUUCUUCUUUAGUAAUAAUUUCUUCAUUUUUCUGGGUUGUGCUUUCAUUUUAAGUUUAGUGGUGUGUACUUCUUAUCAGAAUUACAUAUGCUUGCAUGGAGUGCUGAAUCCUGAAUAAUAAACCAUCGAAAAAUACCAACAGAUCAACAUGAUAAAUGCAUAAAAUAUCGAGAACCAGAAACAAUCCAACACAUUACACAAUCCUGCAGUAGUUUAACUCAAUGGACUACUGAUUAUUAUUAUAUUAUAACAAUACAGUUCCACACAGGAUGGUAUUGGCUCCAUCCCUGUUUACACUUUGCACUUUCAAUACAACAGAGUCAUGUCAUCUGCAGAAAUUCUCUGAUGACUCAGCAAUAGUUGGGUGUAUAAAGGGAGGAUGGGAGGAUGAAUACAGGGCCCUGGUGGAGGACUUUGUCAAAUGGUGCAAGCUGAAUCAUCUGCAGCUCAACAUUAGUAAGUCAAAAGAGAUGGUAAUGGACAUUAGGAUGAUUAAGCCUGCAUUGCUCACUGUUACUGUUGAUCUCAAGGACAUGGAUGUGGUGAAGACCUACAAGUACCUGGGGCUGCACCUAGAUGACAGACAUGAGUGCAGCACCAACACAGAGGCUGUGUACUAGAAGGGCCAGAGUCACCUCUACUUCCUGAGAAGACUGAAGUCCUUUGGAGUAUGCAGGCCUUUCCUUCACAUGUUCUAUCAGUCUGUUGUUGCCAGCACAAUCUUUUACGUUGUGGCAUGCUCGGACAAUGGCAUCAACAUAGGUGAAGCCAACAGGCUCAAUAAACUGAUUAGACUGACUGGCUCUGUUAUAGGAGUCAAACUGGACACACUGGAGGUUGUAUUAGAACCAAGGACCCUAUGGAAAAUCCGGACAAAUCUGGACAAUAUUUCUUGCCCUGUGCAUGCCACCUUGGCUGAACAAAGGAGCACUUUUAGUAAUAGACUAAGACAAUUGUGCUUCUCCAAAGAGCGCUAUAUGAGGUCAUUCUUACCUGGGCCAUUAAGCUCUAUAAUGAGUCAAUCUAUAGCCGGGGAAAUGAUGACCCCCUUUUGUUGGACUGCUUGUAGUAACUUGUAUUAUUUUUUAUUCUUUCAGCUUCUCUUCUAAUACUAACAUAGGUGCAUUUGUAAUGCUACAGUGACACUAAUUUCCUUUGCAAUCAAUACAGUACCUAUCUAAUUAUUAUCCUUACAACAAAUAGCAAAUCAACAUUAAGUGAUAAUUAAUGUUUGGCACAGCAUUGUUAGCCAAAGGGCCUGUAUUGUGCUGUAGGUUUUCUAUGCUUCUAAAAAAUACUUAAUCUCUAUGGACAUGUUAAACCAAGGAAUACAUGAAGUUGCACAAGAGCCAGAAAGAAACCAAUCUAAAGACAAUGACGAUGCUAUACAAGAAAAUAAUGAAGAUGCCAUACCCCCCACAAUGAAUGAAAUAGAAUUACCUCAACACUGCUCCACAACCUGAUGGCAAUAGCAACAACUUAAAUGUACAGCCUCCACAGAAUGCUGUUGACAAAGUUGAGCUUACAGAAAAAACUAUCUUAACAUUUAACAUCACACUAAGAGAAUACAUGGGCACCAACCCAACAGAAAGACCUUAUAUAUCAAAACAAAUAUGCAAAGAUGUUAAUACUCUGAACAAUAUGACCACAGUAUUUAAAAAAAUUGAAACAUUUGAAGAACUGCACAUAAUAACAUCACAUGAUAGCAUUAAGAUCAAUUAUCAUUAACUCAUUAUUAGCAAACCAAAACUGAUAAAUGAAAUCAGAACAUCAAAAUGGCAGAAGGGAUUAAGAAACAAAAUUGAAACGUUAAGAGCAGAAUUAGUCUGCCUAACGUAGUAUAAAAUGGAAGACCUGAGUAAGAAAGUUCAGAGAAAAGAUCAGAAAAUACUAAGGAAAUAUAAAGUCCACACAAAAUAUGACAAAUAUACAAAAUAUAACAAAAGCUUUGUAGAAUUUAUACACUAAAACAAAACAAAAGCUUGGUGCAUACAAAGCCAGACUCAAUAGAUACAUGACAUGCAACAGAUGAAGAAAACAGAAUUAUCAGUUCAAGAAAAAUGAAGGUGGUUUAUACAGAACAUUGAAACUAAAUUCAAUGCAUGAAAAUGUUACUAACAGUAUUACCAACAAACACUGAGAUAAUGAACUUUUGGUCUAAUAUCUGGUCAAACAGAUACACAAUCAAGAAGCAAGUUGGAUUAGGAAGAAGAAAGAAAACACACACACAUUUGAAGGCAUGCAAACAUCUGAAGUUAAAAUGGACAUGGUAAAAAAGGUUAUAAAAAUACCCACAAUUGGAAAAGUUUUGGCAGUAAUAAUAUUCAUUAUUAUUGGUAUAACAAUGUACUUGUCUUCUUCCAUUAAUACAUGUCGACAACUUUCUUAAAAAUGCUGAAAAGAUGCCCGAAUUUUUGAAAAUAAAAUAUAUCCUUUAUCUAAAGGAGAAAUCACAAAUAACACAACAAAAUAUCAUCCUAUUACUUGUUUACAAACUACAUACAAAUUUGUAACAUCAUGCAUCUCACAACUAAUCACCACAAUAUACUUACAGAAGAGCAGAAAGGACGCCGUAAGUGUAUGAAAGGAUGUAAAGAACAUCUGAUAAUAGAUUCUGCAAUUCUAAAUCAAGCCCGGAGGAAAAGCAGAAAUAUUCCAUGUUGUUAUAUUGACUACCAAAAAGCAUUUGAUUCUGUGCCACACUCAUGGUUAAUAUAAGUUCUUAAUAUACUAUAAUAUAUUAUAUAUAAACUACACCCAUGACUUGUGAAAAUCCUAUAACAUCUGAUGAAGCUUUGGUGUACUAUAAUCACUAUCUAUUUGCAACUAAGGAAGAACAGCCACCAUAUCAAAAUAAACCAUGGCAAUUUUCAGGGUGAUUCUCUAAGCCCACGAUGAUUUUGGCUAGUUUUAAACUGCUCUCUAAUUUACUGAAACACACAUUAAUAGGGUAUCAAAUCAAAAACAAACAAAUUAUACCUUGACACACCUUCUAUACAUGGACGAUCUGAAAGUAUACGGUCCUUUAUCAGUUAAGCUAAAGCAAUUAAUUCAAAUAGUAGAACUAAUUUCAAAAGAAAUAAACAUGAACUUUGGACUAGAUAAGUGCAGAACAUUAAAAAUAAAGAAAGGUGCAAUAUAGCUAGUAGUAGAAUAUAAAACAGAGCUGCAGCAUGAUGCAAUGCAACUGAUUCAACACGCUAGGUGAGCAUAUGUCAUUCUGAUAAGAAGUACACUCCACUGAACUUAUAUGAAAGCACAACAAAAAAAAUAUCACUAUAGAAGAAAAAGUUAACCAAUGGAAGAGCAAGACCCUCCAUGGAAGACAUCCCCAUGACCUUGGGAAUACUGGAUAUCAACUAAGUAUGGAACGCCUGGCUCAGAGUUGAGGACCCCUUCCCAGCAACAGGGUUUCCUUGUGGCAAUACAGGACCAGGUAGGUGGUUAACACAAAAAGAUCAAAAAUAUAUAAUAAAAGAUCAACAAAUUGAAAACGUCACAUUACAGGAUCCUGCAGAAAUUUAACUCAAGUCUGAUUACUUACACAGGUACAAUCAAUCGGCAAAUAUCACCCACCAAAAUCUUACUUUAAAAAUCAAACUCAUAAAAGACACUAUACCUUAUUAUGAAUACAAACUGAUCUAAUUUUAGCGUUAGAGUCCUUCAAAUUAUAUUAUGACCAUUCCAUUAUUACAGAUAGGGUAAUCCAUAUAAACCAUUCAGAUAUAAUAUUACAGGAUAAACAAGUAACUUACUUGAUCGAUACGUAUAGCCACUCCAAACACACACAACAUACAGAAAUCAAUGUGAAAAACACCUGAAAAAUGCUAACUUUAAAAGUGGAAAUUGAAAGCCUCUGGAAUAUUGUCCUAAUAGAAGUAUCUAUAAUCACUAUCAUUCUAAUGUCACCUCACAAUAGCAUUAAACAAUUAGGCCUACUCAGCAAUAUGUGUGUUAAUCUUCAGAAAACCACAAUACUAUUAAAUACCACUAGAUUUUUUUUUACCACUAGGAUAGUCCAAAAGAUCCUAGCAAUUGGGAACUGAGUGUGCUGCCCGUACCUAAGGUUUUACCAGCUUGAGCAAGAAAGAAAAAUUAUUAUUAUUGUAUUUGCGCAGUUUGUUGUCCUUUGCACAUUGGCUGUUUGUCUAUCUUGUUGAGUGGGGUCUUUAAUCGAUUCUAUUGUAUUUCUUUGUAUUUACUGUGAAUGUGCGCAAGAAAAUGAAUCUCAAAGAUGUAGAUGCACUUUGAUAACAAAGUUACUUUCAACUUUCAAAUAUAUCAACCUUCCUUUAUCUUCAUUGGAUCUAAGUCUUGGAACUACAGUGCAACACCUUUAGCAGAAUGAUAGCAAUUUUUGUCCUGAUGAAGGGUUUGGCCCGAAACGUCGACUUUUCAUUAUUUUCAUAGAUGUUAGCUGAUCUGCUGAGUUUCCUCCAUCAUUUUGAGUGUGUUGCUCUGAAUUUCCAGAGUCGGCAGAAUCUCUUGUGAUUUGCAGUUUUUCGUGGCAGCUCAUAUCCCUCUUCAUGAGAGUAAUUGAUUGGCCUUGAGACAGAUGCCCACAUCACGAGAAAUUAAUGGGGGGAAAAAGCUGCUUGGGGUGCGAAAUAUCUGAACAAAUGCUAGGAGCUCCGCACCGUCAAAAAUCAGAUGCCUCAUAUACCACAGUGAAGUCAUUCUAAUGUAGCCGCUCAUAGCCCGGCUAGCUCAGUCGGUAGAGCAUGGGACUCUUAAUCCCAGGGUCGUGGGUUCGAGCCCCACGUUGGGCGUUAAGGUUUUUAAAAAUGUUCAACCUACUUUUUAUAAAAACUUAUUUGGCAUUUGAAUAAAAAGUCUCAAAAUAUGAAACACAUCGAUCACAUCCUUCAUAUACAAAGACGACGAUUGUGUCCGGGCAGUGAAAGCAAAAUAUGAAUUCCUCUCUUCCCACUAGCCCUGGAUCGAAGUUCAUUGAAAACACCAGAAUGAAAAUCUAAUGCACGUCACACAGAUAGUUAUUGCCUUCAGCGACUUGUGUUACUUGUGAAGUGGGUUGAUUUGCCCCGGAACUCGCCUGUGGUAGCUGCAGGGCCGAAGUCGCCGGUUGCUAUGGGAGCGGUUGGGCGUCUGGUCGUUGGGCCCUGGAGGCGGUACGGCCGCAGGUAGGUGCGUGGCCCAGAAAUGGACGGGUUACCCGAGGAGAAAAUGGACCUGAUCGCUUCUGCGUUCAGCUGUCUGACAGUGAAGCAGCAGAGUGAGGUGAUGUCGCGGUUACUCCGCUCUUGUCAGCUGCCACAGCUGAAGGAGAUCUACAAUGAAUUGUGUCCCAUGUUAUCUAUUGAUUUUGUGUCAACGCUACCCCGAGAGUUGGUGGAAAGAAUAUUUGCAUAUUUAUCUGCAGAGGAUCUAUUCAGAAUGGCGUGCUGUAACAAAUCAUGGAGGGAAUUUGCAAACACUGAUGUUCUAUGGCAACCAUUAUGUACUCUGAAAAACUGGCUUAACUUUGACACUGAUGAGCAACUCUUCUCUAAAAACCAGUAUGGUUUCAGUCCCACAGGUCUCACAUCUCCCAGGUACAACAGACCUAAUUUUUCUGAUUUUCCAUCAUUGUCUCCAACCUGUCGAUGGAAGGAGAUAUACAUUAGGGCUUGUCACUUAAAUCAAAACUGGGAAUUGGGCAGAUAUACGGUUCUACCUUUACUUCGAGGCCAUCAAGAAAGAGUGGAUUGCCUAGAUUGUGAUGGGAAAUGGCUGGUUAGUGGAAGUUCAGACAAAACUGCCCGUGUAUGGGAUCUCUUCACUGCAUGCUGUCUGCAUGUUCUGGAUAACCAUACAGAUGCUGUCACCUGUGUUUGCAUUAAGAAAGAGGUCAUUGUAACAGGUUGUGCCGACAGCUUGAUUCGAAUUUUCCAAUUGGAAACAGGGAUUUGUCUACGAGCACUGAUGGGCCACAGCUCAGGAAUUGAUCACCUAUGUUUUGAUGGAACACAAGUGGUCAGCGCCAGCUCAGAUAGAACUCUUCGAGUUUGGUCAGUUCAGGAUGGAUGGUGUAGGAAAAUACUCCGAGGUCAUGAAGAUGAGAUUCAGCACUUGUCGAUGAAAGAGCAUCUAGUUGCUAGCACAUCCUGGGACCACACAGUAAGAAUAUGGAAUGUACAGAGAGGAGUAUGUACAGCUGUUCUAAAAGGCCAUACAGAAGUGGUGAACUGUUGUCAGUUUGACUGUCGAUAUGUGGUGAGUGGAGCAGGGGAUUGCUUAGUUCUUAUCUGGUCAGUAGACAGUGGAAGAUUGCUGCAUAGGUGUCAAGGACACACGGGAGAUGUGGUAAGUAGCUUCCAUAAGGUGACAGAUGGAAACCAUAUAUUAUUGUAGUAUUUUUUCUCAAAUUUAAAGAGAGAAUAUAAAGACAAAGUGAAAGAAAGUGUUACAAACAUUUCCAAGAGAUAGCACCAUCAAAUGUGUUGUCAUUUGUAGACACAGUAAUUUACACACUGUUCAUCCACUGGUAUUGAUGAAAACUGAAACAGUGACAAAUUUCAAAAAUACAUUGUAAUGAUAUCUCCACAAAUUCACAUUCCUAGUCACUGAGUGUGCUGUAAGAAAGUCAGGACAGUACUAGCAGAAAUUGCUGAAAAUCCCCAGCAUCUGGGGGGAGAAAUAAAAUUUUUGUUCAUAACAUUUGAUCGAAGCAUUUUCAUCUCCUUUUCCUCUCCACAGACAGUAGUAUUACCUAACUUAAUAAUUUCCUUCAUUUUCUGCUCUUAUUUUAAUGUAUGAGGGAAAUCCAGUAUUCUGACCCUGUGCCUGUAGCAAUAUUUUGCUCUUUAAGGCAUCACACAAUGUCUUUCUAUUUUAGAACUUAACUUGUCUGAGGCAUUUAUAGACAUUUAUACAAAAGAUAUAAGCACAAAAUAUUACCAGUUAAGUAUCCUGCAUCAUUCACAUUUUCACAAAAACACUCAUAAGGUGAAAUCACACUGUGCAAUAUUAACAUAAUGUGCAAAAAUCAUGUUUUAGUAUAGUCAUUAACUCACUAUUUUAAAAUUAUUUCUUAAACAAUGAUCAAAAAUAUGCAAGCAAACUAGCCUGCAUUUUGAGAUAAUACUUGGACAAAUAAGAAGAGGAAACAUAAAAUGGCAUCAUCACUAAAUUUACUGGUACAUUGAAAAGAAAUUGCAAUGAGGUAGUGACACCAAAUAUCUCAUUGACUAUAAUUAACAUAUCAAUUGAACAAUUCAAAACACAAAGUUCAAAGUAAAUUUAUUAUCAAAGUACAUAUGCCACUAUAUACAACCCUGAGAUUAAUUUUCUUGUGGGCAUACUUAAUAAAUCCAACAACCAUAAUAGAAUCACUGAAAGACUGCAACCACCGGGUGGACAACUAGUGUGCAAAGGACAAUAAAUCCAAUAACCAUAAUAGAAUCACUGAAAGACUGCAACCAGCGGGUGGACAACUAGUGUGCAAAGGACAACAAACUGCAAAUACAGAUGUGCUCCAGGAUGGGAUGACUUUACCUGUGAUGGACUGGGCUGUAUCCACUUUUUUGUAGGAUUUCCUGUACUAGGAAAUUGGUGUUUCCAUACCAGGCUGUGAUGGAGCCAGUCAAUAUACUUUCCAUUACACACCUAUAGAGGUUUGUUAGAUUUUUAGAUGUCAUGCCAAAUCUUUGCAAACUUCCAAGGAAGUAUAGAGGCACCACCAUGUUUUCUUCAUAAUUACACUUAUGUGCUGGGCUUAGAACAGGUUUUCUGAAAUGAUAACACCAAGGAAUUUUAAAUUGCUGAUGCUAUCCACCUCUGAUCCCCCGAUAAGGAUUGGCUCAUGAACCUCUGGUUUCCUCUUCUUGAAGUCAAUAAUCAGCUCCUUGGUCUUGCUGACAUUGAGUAAGAGGUUGUUGUUGGGGCACUAUGCAUUAGGGAUUGGGUUAAGAUUAGUCAACCAGAUUUUCAAUCUCCCUCCUUUACACUGAUUCAUCAUCUUUGAUUUGGCCAACGAAAGUACUGUCAUCAGUAAACUUAAGUAUGGUAUUGGAGCUGUGUCUAGUCAUAAUCAUAAAUGUAAAGCGAGAAGUGCAUAGCCUUGUGGUGCACCUGUUCUGAUGGAUAUUGUGGAGGAGAUGUUGUUGCCAAUCUAAACUGGCUGGGGUCUGCAAGUGAGGAAAUUUCCCAAGGAGGUAUUGAGGCCAAGGUCUUGAAGGUUAUUGAAUAGCUUAGAGGGGAUGAUAGUAUGAAUGCUGAGCUAUAGUCAAUAACGAGCAUCCUGAUGUAUGCAUUUUUUGCUGUCCAGAUAUUCCAGGGUUGAGUGAAGAGCCAGUGGGAUGGCUUCUGCUGUGGACCUGUUGUGCCAGUAAAGCAAAUUGGAGUGGAUCCAAGUCAGUUCUCAAGCAGGAGUUUCCCUUGAUGUGGCUUUCCUUGUAUAAUACUCUUGCCAUUUGGACUAUCACUAACAUUAUACAACAAUCUAUGUACAGAUAUUCACAAAAAGUCAAAAAUGCAUUGUUCGUGUAAUAUGGACUUUCAACCAACCACAAGUGUCACCGUAGGAUACCAUAAAAGUGGUGAAGUUAUAGGAGUUUUAAGUUGUGCUGAUUUGGUCCUACAUUCUGACUUGUUCUUUUCUAUUAUAAAAAAAGGAUUUCACUUUCUUAUGGUAGUUGUCAUGAUAUUAUCAUGUUGCCAGAUUAGUGCCCCAGUGUUCUGAAAAGAGAAUUCUGAACUGUCUCCAAGCUGACAUCACCUAUGUAUGUUCCUAGAGCAGGUGGUAUGUAUCAAUACAACUCAUGAAAUCUUCACUGAGCAUUCCACUGGAAUAUUAAGCUCACACUUUAGGACUUGUAUCUGCUUAUUUACUGCUGAAGCACAGCAAUAAAUUCCAUGUGAAAUCUUUAGAGUAAUGAUUUUCUAAAGAUUAUCUUGAGUCAUGGUCUUAUAUGGUUCCUGCAGCAUUUUAUGGCACAAAGAGACAUAAGUAAAAUUUAUCAUCUAAGUAUGUACAAGUUGCAAUUUGCUACCCUGACAUCCAUUUUUUUGCAGGCAUUUGCAGAAAAAUAAAGAAAUAAAAUAGAAAUUAUAGAAAACUAUACUUAAAGACUGACAAACAACCAAUGUGGAAAGGACAAAUCAUGCAAAUGAAAAAUGUAAUAUUGAGAACAUAAGUUGUACAGUCUUUGAAAGUGAGUUUGUAGAUUGUAGAUUCUGUUCAGAGUUGUGGUGAGUGAAGUUAUCCAUUCCAGUUCAGAAGCCUGAUGGUUAUAUAAUAAUAACUAUUAUUUCUUUCUUCAAACAUAUAGCACCUGUGAUCCAGCAACCACUUCCUCUGGCACUCAUUUCAAUUUUGUGUCACCCAUACUUACUAAGCUUUGUGCAUUUCAUCCAAAUUACUUAUAUAAAUUUUGGUCUCAACACCAACCCCUGAGGCACACUACCAGUUACUGGCUUCUAUUCCAAGAAGCAACCUUCAGAUGUUAAAGUGAAAUGUAUUAACUCUCCCUGGACUCCAAGUAACCUAACCUUCCAGAACAGCCUUCCAUAUGGGACCUGGUCAAAAUUCUCGUUACAGACCAAAUAGACUACAUCUUUUAACAAACCCUCUUCAACAAACUCUAAAAGGCUUGCCGAGCACAGCUUGACAUGCACAAAGCCAAACUGAUUCCCCUUAAUCAAACUGCAUCAAACUAAAUGCUGAUUGACCCCAUCCCACAGUGACUUCCCCACUACUAAUGUCAGGCUAGUCAGCCUGUAAUUCUCUGGCUUUUCCUUAUUACCCUUCUCAAACAAUGAAACUUUCACCACCUUCCAGUCUUUGGAACUGAGUCAGGUAAUGAAGUAACUUGUUUUUCCAUAGUCCAAAAAAAUCCAUGCCUAAUAUAGGAUGGUAUAUUUUCAUCCUAUUACCAUUUCACUUAGCACUUUAUCCAAAUAAGGAAUGUUCUAAGGUAUCUUGUUUCAACUUGCUAAAUAAAUUUCUCCCUAAAAAUGAUCCAUAUUUUCUAUUAUUCCUUUUAAAAAUCUGCUUUUCAGUAUUUUUCUUCUCCAAACUUACCAAUUUUUCUUCCUCUUAGAACAAAAUAUGGAUAUAUUAAAUUUUGUCACUUCUUUAGUCUGCAUUUUCAGUUUUUUCACUUCAAUCACAUAGUGUUCAUAGAAGAAAACAAAAUAUAUUAAGUUUUAUAAGUAAAACGGAUCAGAUUAAAUUAGUACUAUUUUAUGAAAAUGUAGAAGGAUAAGUAAAAAUUUUAUGAAAUGAUUUAGAGCUAUGACCACUCAAGUGCAGCAUGCCUACUGGAACUAAUUUCUGUAAUUUUUCCUGUUCUUGUCAUUGUAUCUAAUACUGCCCCCUUGGGCUCUCAGUUGGUCAGCAGUCAUAAUUUUUCAUGUAUUUCCGUCCAGCAUCAGAUCACUCAGAAACAAGACCCCUUGGUAACUAUAAGCUUUGUCCAUUGAUGUCAUGGUAUUGGAAGGACCUUGACUUUCAGUACUGUUUGAAGUUUAAUGAGGAGUCAAUCUGCUCUGGUUCAUCAGAUAGCACCAUUCGAGUCUGGGACUUUACAGGAAAAUGUCGUUUCAUUAUGACUGAACAUAUUGGGGUGGUGAGGAGUCUACACCUGAA